rnacentral:rRNA from 1 species
UACGUAGGGGGCAAGCGUUGUCCGGAAUCAUUGGGCGUAAAGCGCGUGUAGGCGGCCCGGUAAGUCCGCUGUGAAAGUCGGGGGCUCAACCCUCGAAUGCCGGUGGAUACUGUCGGGCUAGAGUGCGGAAGAGGCGAGUGGAAUUCCUGGUGUAGCGGUGAAAUGCGCAGAUAUCGGGAGGAACACCAAUGGCGAAGGCAGCUUGCUGGGACGGUACUGACGCUGAGGCGCGAAAGCGUGGGGAGCAAACAGG